rnacentral:rRNA from 1 species
AUUGAACGCUGGCGGCAGGCUUAACACAUGCAAGUCGAGCGAGCGGCGGACGGGUGAGUAAUGUCUGGGAAACUGCCUGAUGGAGGGGGAUAACUACUGGAAACGGUAGCUAAUACCGCAUACCAUCAGAUGUGCCCAGCUGGGAUUAGCUAGUAGGUGGGGUAAUGGCUCACCUAGGCGCCGAUUCCUCGCUGGUCUGAGAGGAUGACCAGCAAAACUGGACCUGCGCCACGGUCCCGACUCCUACGUGAGGCAGCAGUGGGGAAGAUUGCACAAUGGGCGCAAUCCUGAGGCAGCCAUGCCGCGUGUGUGAAGAAGGCCUUCGGGUUGUAAAGCACUUUCAGCGAGGAGGCGUUACUCGCAGAAGAAGCACCGGCUAACUCCGUGCCAGCAGCCGCGGUAAUUC